CUUAUCUUUAUAUUCUGUAGCAUGUAAAGUAUAACCAAUGUUAGGCUUUCUUAAUUUGGUGAUCCACAAGACGCCAUGGUGUGGUAGAUGGAUUUAAAAAUGUUUCUAAAUCUUUAUACACCUACCACCACCACCACCACUCCCUUCCCUAACCUGUGAAAUGGGAGUUUGAAGUUCCUCUAAUAAAGAAGUGGGGUCUAUUUUCUUUGCUCUUGAAAAGGGCAAAGGAAGGUCUGGUCUUAUAACUUGCUUUAGCCAAGGCAAUAUAGCAGAGUGACUCCCUUUCAUUCCCUUCCUUGGAAAUUGCCUACAUGUGAACAAAUCCCAUUUAGCCUGCUAGAUGAUAAGAGCCACAUGGCCCAAUUAUUCUUAUCACCCCUGCCAAACAUCAGCCAACUGGCCAGCAUGUGAGAAAAGCCAUCUUAGAUUGGCCAACCCCUGGCCUACCUGCCAGCCCUCAACAGAUGCAUAUACAAGCCAGCCAAGAUCAGCUAAAUCUAGCCCAGGUUAGCAGACCCAUCCAGCUGCUCCAUGUACUGUUGAUCAAUAAUAAAUGCUUAUUGUUUUAAGCCACUGAGUUUACAGAUGCUUUGCUAUACAGCAAUAGCUAACGUCACAAUGUGCCUUUUGUGGUGCAUAUGUUUUACUCCCUGUCUAUGGAACAGCUCAAACUCCAUUGCCUUGGCUGAAAUCGCUGAAACUCUGGCAUGUUCAGAAGCCAUCAGAUACUCAAGGGAACACAUACCUGCCCUUGCUACUGCUCAAGUAACGAGGAAGAAAGUAGAUUGAGCCAGCAACACCUCUUUGGGAUCCUGUAGCUAGCAUGAGGACUGCUGGGGGGGGCACUGGAGAGGGACGACUGGAUCGGAGAAGGGGCUUCAUCGCGAUUGGCUUGCUGCUUCUGUCGCGAUGCAGUGGCGCUUCGCCUUGGCUGCAGAGGCUGGUGGCAGCCUCCACCUUCUUUCCGCUCCUCCAGAAACAUCCUGCAGGGGUCGGUCAGUCACACCAGCAACAGCUGGGAGGCGCCCCUUCCUCAGCGGCCUGAGCUUAGCCUGGCGUCUCCUUCUCUAAAACCCUGCUCCCAGCAGCAGCCGGGCAGCCCUCCCUCCUCCGCAGGUAUCAACAUCUAUAAACAUUCUUAAAGUCCUUGAUACAUUUGCCAAAUUGCUUUCCAGACGAAUUAUCAUGAUUUACACUCUCACUGGUUAUGUGCGAAAAUGCUUCCAGCAACCCUCUCCCAUACGAUUGUUGUUGCUAAUUAACUUAUCAUUGUCUUUGGUUGAUUUUUACAUUUAACCCUUGAAUUCAGCGGUUCUCAAAUGCUAGCUCUAAGACAUCCUGUAUCAGAAUCAUGGGGGAAGAUAGAGUCCCAGAUCGUACUUCCGGAGAUUCUGAUUCUGUUGAAGCUUUCUGAAAUUAAUUGCAUAAAUUUUCAUGUUUUUAUAGUCAGACUUCUGAAUUUUUGACUUGGAAUUAAUCCAGACCCUGAAAGUUAGAACCAAAUCAACUUCAAAAUCAUCAGGACCAGCAGUCCUUUUUUUGAAGUUUCAUGGUUUGCCCAGUAUCUUCAUCUGAAAACUCCAUGACCUCCUUGUUGACUUUUUUCUUUUUUAAUAAAAAGGGACUUGAAGGAGAAUGCCGAACUUGAACCCCAACUGGUGUAAUUGCACAGGAUCACGGUAGCAAAGGGAAGACCUGGUUUCUGUAUUUGUGGUCCCUCUCACCCCUGGAUCGAGUCUCUUAUUCUAAUUAAUACUUUCUCCAAAACCCAGAGCCUUGGUUCCCAUGUUCCAAAGCUUUUAGGAUGACAUAGUCUCUAGUUUUCCUUAUGUCAAGGAGUGGGCAUGAGAUACUUUCUGAAAAGAAUCCUGGUGAGUACUGCUAGACCAUGAUGAAACUUUUACUUUGCCUCUGUUUGCUGUCUAAGGUUUAUGAGACUUUGGUUUUUUAAUAUAAAAUGUGAAAUGUGGAAGCGGGUUGCCUGUGGAUUCUGAGUAUCCAGAAUCAGUGUUUGUUUCAUGGUAUCUAAUUACGAAUGCUAUCCAUGAGGAUGUCAGUGGCUCGGGUGAAAAAGAUACAGUAGCUCUAGUUCUUUAUUACCUUGGUGAAGAUUGUUACAGUGAUGUGAGGAGGCCAAAUUUUAGGGGAAAAAACAACAGGAAGGAAAAGUGACACCAGCCCUCUAUCUCUUAGCCUGCAAAUUAUGACCUGUGGGCCAAAUCAGGCCUGCUGCCUGCUUUUCCAAAUAAAGUUUUAUGGGAACACAGCCACACCCUUUCAUUUAAAUAUUGUCUGUAAUUGCUUUCAAGUUAUAAUGGCAAAAGUCGAGUGGUUGCUACAGAGACUACAUGGCCUACAAAGCUAAAAAUACUCAUUAUCUGCUCCUUUACAGAUAAUGUUUGCCAAACCUGAUCUAGAUUUUCAAAUGUAUUACAGCUGUGCCUGCUUAGUUACUUCUUGCAGUUUGAAAGGACUUUUUUUUAGUAGCCGUUAGUAAUGUUUAAUUCACAUUCAUAAUUCAUUUAAUGGACAUUUUCCUGAUUCCUUUUUAUUCUUACAUUUGGCAAAGGUAUUCCAUAUAUAUAUAUAUAUUUUUUUUUUCCAACAAACUUGCUCUUGGGUUUGUAAAUGCUAUGGUUUUAAAUUUUCUAAUAUCUUUGUUUUGAUGAUUUCAUUAUUUCCUUCAUUCUACUUAUAGACUUAAAAAAAUCCUUGUCUAAAUAGAUUAAGGUAAUUAUUAUUGUUUUUGACCCAAAUAACUCCCAUUUCUUUUGAAAUUAUAGGAAACUAAUAUUUUUAAUUCGAAACACACAGACACAUCGAAGCACAGAUAAAAAGAGAGAAGGAAAACAAAUCAUCCGAUGUCAUCCUGCUGUAGCUAGUGACCAUAACUAUUUUGGAGUUUUUCCUUCUAGUCUCUUUUUUUAAAAAAAUAACAAUUUUAAAGCUUUUUAAUAGUAAGGAAAUACAAUAACAUAAAAUUAACCAUUGUAAUCAUUCUUAAGUGUUCAGUUCAGUAGUGUUAAGUACAUUUACAUUGUCAGGCAACAGAUCUCUAGAACUUUUUCAUCUACCAAAACUGAAACUCUGCACCCAUUAAACAAGUCCUCACUUCCCCUUCCCCCAGCCUCUGGCAACCACCAUUCUACUUUCAUCUUUAUGAAUUCCACGACUCCAGGUACCUCAUCUAAGUGGAAUCACACAGUAUUUGUCUUUUUGUGACUGGCUUAUUUCACUUAGCUUAACGUCCUGCAGGUUUAUGUUGUUGUUGUAGCAUGUGUCAGAAUUUCUUUCUUUUUAUCAAAGCUGAAUAAUAAUGUAUGGAUAGAACACAUUUUAUUUAUCAGUUUUUCUGUUGAUAGACGCUAGGGUUGCUUCCCCCUCUUGGCUAUUGUGAAUUAUGCUGCUGUGAACAUGGGUAUGCAAAUAUCUCUUUGAGAUCUUGCUUUCAAUUCUUUCGGAUAUAGAAGUAAAAGUGGGAUUGCUGGGUCCUAUGGUAAUUCUGUUUUCAUUUUUUGAGGAACCUCCAUGCUGUUUCUGGUAGGCACUGUACCAAUUUAGUCUCCUAUUUGAGGCACAUGCGUUUCAGUAGUUUGUUCAAGUCAUUAUUUUCUUUAAGUAAAAUUUAAAUAAAUGUUGCUCAACUAAAACCCCUUCUCUAUACCCUAUAGAAAAUAUAAUCCUCUGCUCCAAAUGUGUCUGUCUCAAAGACUUUUAUUCUCAAGUUUGCAUCAAUUUCUUCCCUCAUUGUUUUCCUUUCUUUUCUCAUUUUUUUCUGGGAGUAUUUAUCAACUUUAUUCUUAUAUUGCUAGUCAGUUAUAAGUUACCUGCCACCUGCUAAUUUCAAUUUAACAGCAUGCUUUUUAUUUCCUUGAAGUCUCUUUUUCUCCUGACCUGCUUGCUGUUUAAUAAGACAAAUAGAUUGAGAAAAUAAAUGCUUUCUUAACAAAUGAGAUUUCAAAAACCCUCACCACUGAGCUGCUGGUGGAUUAAAAAAAUUUUUUUUCUCUCAGCAUUUAGAUGAGAUUUUCUAUCUUAUUGCUGUUGACAG
rnacentral:lncRNA from 1 species